rnacentral:misc_RNA from 1 species
AUAAUUCAAAAUCAGAAUUGUUUCUGGAUACUUCUGUUGUUUUAUUUGGAUUGCAAUUAUCUUUGAUUAAAGGUUCUAAAUUGUACAAAUUCCAUAAGUAUAUGAUAGUAAAAAGAUGCUUGACUUGAUCAUGAAAAGGUUUGUCAAAAAAGAUGUCAAUGUUGCAAAAAAAGUUGGGUUUUCAAUGAGGGAAAGGGAGUACUUUUCUCUAUUCAAAACGUCAUAAGGUUCCAAAAUUUCAAGUUCAGUACAACAGCAAAAGUAAAAAAAG